rnacentral:rRNA from 1 species
UAGGGAAUCUUCGGCAAUGGACGAAAGUCUGACCGAGCAACGCCGCGUGAGUGAAGAAGGUUUUCGGGUUGUAAAGCACUUUCAGCGGGGAGGAAGGCGAUAAGGUUAAUAACCUUGUCGAUUGACGUUACCCGCAGAAGAAGCACCGGCUAACUCCGUGCCAGCAGCCGCGGUAAUACGGAGGGUGCAAGCGUUAAUCGGAAUUACUGGGCGUAAAGCGCACGCAGGCGGUUGAUUGAGUCAGAUGUGAAAUCCCCGGGCUUAACCCGGGAAUUGCAUCUGAUACUGGUCAGCUAGAGUCUUGUAGAGGGGGGUAGAAUUCCAUGUGUAGCGGUGAAAUGCGUAGAGAUGUGGAGGAAUACCGGUGGCGAACGCGGCCCCCUGGACAAAGACUGACGCUCAGGUGCGAAAGCGUGGGGAGCAAACAGG